UAGGUAGUAGUGUAACGGAAGCACCAAGAGUUUUGAUCUCUUUAGCAGGGUUCAAAUCCCUUCUUCCUAA
rnacentral:tRNA from 1 species